rnacentral:rRNA from 1 species
UACGUAGGGUGCGAGCGUUGUCCGGAUUUAUUGGGCGUAAAGAGCGUGUAGGCGGCCAGAUAGGUCCGUUGUGAAAACUCGAGGCUCAACCUCGAGACGCCGAUGGAAACCAUUUGGCUAGAGUCCGGAAGAGGAGAGUGGAAUUCCCGGUGUAGCGGUGAAAUGCGCAGAUAUCGGGAGGAACACCAGUGGCGCAAGCGGCUGACUGGCCGAGACCUGACGCUGAGACGCGACGGCGUGGGGAGCAAACCGG